rnacentral:rRNA from 1 species
GGGUCAGUAGGUUGGUCGUGCCACCGGUACGGACUGGUCUCGCUGAUUCCUCCUUCCUGAAGAACCGUAAUGCCAUUAAUUUGGUGUUGCGGGGAAACAGGACUGUUACUUUGAAAAAAUUAGAGUGUUUAAAGCAAGCUAACGCUUGAAUACAUUAGCAUGGAAUAAUGAAAUAGGACGAUCGAUCCUAUUUUGUUGGUUUCUAGGAUUGACGUA